GCCGAAGAUGAUGUAGCAUUCCUGAGAAGGGUGACCGCAACUCUGUCAUCAGAUCCCCAGACACCUGGGAGGCAAUGGGGUGAGCUGUGUGAUCCCUGUCACUGUCAGGGAAGCAGACUCAGUUUGUCCAAGGGUUUCUCUGUGUAGCCCUGGCGCCUGUCCUGAAACUCACUCUGUAGCCCAGGCUGGCCUCGAACUCACAGAGAUCCACCUGGCUCUGCCUCCCGAGUGCUUUCAUCUUACCCGAGAAUCUGACUGUGGGCUCCCGACAGGUUUGCUCCCUUGGAAACUGGUAAGUAGCCCGAGAGAAAGCAGCAGCGAGCGUCCGCUUUGGGGGCUCAGAGUUGAGUACAUCACUGGGUUCCUUGGCCUGGGAGAGCUGCUAACCCAUCAGCAUUCCCUGCAGGCUUGGCGGGCCAGGGGCCUUGUUGAACACCUUGUCUUGGAGAAUGAGAUGAAGGGAUGGGAGACAGCCAGGAGAGGAGCCAGGACGGCCUGUGGCCAGGAGGUUGGAAGUGGUGAGUGAGCCGCUGAUGUGGAGCGGAGCUGGCGAUGCCCCUUUGCCUUCACUGACCAUCCGGAGAAACGAAGCCUCAGCUGGAACCCACCUCAGUUCAGCACC